UACGAAGGGGGCUAGCGUUGCUCGGAAUCGCUGGGCGUAAAGCGCACGUAGGCGGCUUUCUAAGUCAGGGGUGAAAUCCUGGAGCUCAACUCCAGAACUGCCUUUGAUACUGGAGAGCUUGAGUCCGGAAGAGGUGAGUGGAACUCCGAGUGUAGAGGUGAAAUUCGUAGAUAUUCGGAAGAACACCAGUGGCGAAGGCGGCUCACUGGUCCGGUACUGACGCUGAGGUGCGAAAGCGUGGGGAGCAAACAGG
rnacentral:rRNA from 1 species